rnacentral:lncRNA from 1 species
CAGGGUGGUGGCAUCUUCCAGAGUUUCACGGAAGUGUCUGUUGAUUGGGAUUGCCUACAGAGCUUGAUUCCAGACCCCGCUGAUGACGUCAUCCUGCAACAUUUUAGGAUUGUCAUAAAAUUAGCUUCUGUCGAAGCACUUAUUUUCUGGACAUAUAAGAAUUCUGGAAGUAUUAGAGUCUACAUAAUUCAUCCCUCCUUCAAGUCAUGAGAUCUUCAAUCAGGGUAAAUAUGAAAUUAAAGCCAACUCAUGGCCCUGGCCUGGAGCACCCUUACGUGAGGCCCAUGCAGCCAUCUGAGCCACUGGAUAUGUCCUACUUUUUGUCCAAAUCUCUGGGCCUCACAAAAAAGCCCUCUCACAGUUAUAGAACUUAUAAGAAAACGAAAUCAGAAUCUCUCUAUUUGACAUUUUUAACAAUUACUACAAGAAUCUGAAGUUUGUUGCUAUUCGGAAAGGUCCAGUAACCUUGGAGGGGCUAUAUUCUGUUGGUGGCAGGGUCAAGUAAAAUAGGAAGAUUGAUCUUAGUUAUUAAGAAGAUUAAUUUAUGCUACAAAUAAACUCCACAAUGGGGCUGAAUUUUCUUUAUCCUUUUAAAUAAAAUUACAAUGCUGAAAAUCCACCGCUUUUUGUUUCUUUUAAGUUGGGUCUACACAAGGCAGCUAGUUACCAACAUGCUUCAUUAU